GCUUUGCUGGGGAAGCUGUGAAGAGUUACCCCACAUCCAAGGUUCCCUUUGGCCCACCUAUCAGAGGACAUGCGUGUGGGUCAUCGGAACAAGAAAUACCGGCUCCCAGGUUCAACACGGGCAGCCAGGAGGACGAGGGCAGUGAACUCCCAGACAGACAUCCAGGCUCAGCAGUUGCAGCCACCCCCUCUGUGUGUGUAGAUGUGACAGCCUACUGGCCCUCCCUUUGAGCCUGGGGUCAACAAGAGCAGCUCUGGAGACUUGAUCAUUCCGUCUUAGUCACAACACCUACGCUGUUGGUUGAUAAACACUGGUGCUUGAAGACUUUCUUGUAUAACAUGAACCAACCAUGUGGGCUGUUCUUGGGACUGCAGUGCUGAUCGUCAGAACAUCUAGCGCAAGGAGCCGAAAG